AUUGAACGCUGGCGGCAUGCUUUACACAUGCAAGUCGAACGGUAACAGGUUAAGCUGACGAGUGGCGAACGGGUGAGUAAUGCAUCGGAACGUGCCCGGUCGUGGGGGAUAACGCAGCGAAAGCUGCGCUAAUACCGUAUACGAUACGAGGAGAAAAGCGGGGGACCGUAAGGCCUCGCGCGAUCGGAGCGGCCGAUGUCAGAUUAGGUAGUUGGUGGGGUAAAGGCUCACCAAGCCAACGAUCUGUAGCUGGUCUGAGAGGACGACCAGCCACACUGGGACUGAGACACGGCCCAGACUCCUACGGGAGGCAGCAGUGGGGAAUUUUGGACAAUGGGCGAAAGCCUGAUCCAGCAAUGCCGCGUGCAGGAAGAAGGCCUUCGGGUUGUAAACUGCUUUUGUACGGAGCGAAAAGGUCUCCUCUAAUACAGGGGGCUCAUGACGGUACCGUAAGAAUAAGCACCGGCUAACUACGUGCCAGCCGCCGCGGUAA
rnacentral:rRNA from 1 species